GCCUCGGUAGUGCAGUGGUUCGCCUGCGCCUUCGGAAAGGGUGAGACGCAGGUUUAACCCCUGUCCAAGGUU